rnacentral:rRNA from 1 species
UACGAAGGGGGCUAGCGUUGUUCGGAAUCACUGGGCGUAAAGCACACGUAGGCGGAUGUGCCAGUCAGGGGUGAAAUCCCGGAGCUCAACUUCGGAACUGCCUCUGAUACAGCACGUCUUGAGUCCGGAAGAGGUGGGUGGAAUUCCUAGUGUAGAGGUGAAAUUCGUAGAUAUUAGGAAGAACACCGGUGGCGAAGGCGGCCCACUGGUCCGGUACUGACGCUGAGGUGCGAAA